rnacentral:rRNA from 1 species
UACGGAGGGUGCAAGCGUUAUCCGGAUUCACUGGGUUUAAAGGGUGCGUAGGUGGGUUGGUAAGUCAGUGGUGAAAUCUCCAGGCUUAACUUGGAAACUGCCAUUGAUACUAUUAAUCUUGAAUGCCGUGGAGGUCAGCGGAAUAUGUCAUGUAGCGGUGAAAUGCUUAGAUAUGACAUAGAACACCAAUUGCGAAGGCAGCUGACUACGGAAAUAUUGACGCUGAGGCACGAAAGCGUGGGGAUCAAACAGG